AUGAACAUUCACAUGUCAUGUUGUUUUACUUGCAUUCAGCUAAGUGGCUGCCAUUGGAACUUCAGAUCCCAGAAAAUUAUUUUUGUCCGAUUGUCACUGUCCUUUUCAAGGCAAAAGGUUUCCUGGCCCUGGAAAGAAUGCAGAGGCCAUUCUCUUCCACAGAACAACACUCAGCAGCAAAGCAACAUAACCUGGCAGAUACACUUACCAGAAAAAUCCAACUCCUGCUCUACAUUAUUGACGAUUGAGAGAGAGAUGGGGACUACUGGCUGGUGAUCAGAAUCCGAAUUUACUGUGAGUUACAUAUGCUUAUAACCGUUCUAGGAAGGCUAGUAAUUUUUUACUACAUUGAUUGGGUUAAACAUCACACAGACAAACUUAUACGUUUUGCAACAUUUCUACUUGAUUCAAUCUUCUUCCUUGUCGCCAGUUUUCAUCCAAUCUUCUUGCUCUGUUCUUGCCAAGGCAUUUUGGCUAUCAAACUGCUUAUGCUAGUUAAAUCCACAGUACAAUCUGUCUUAGCUCCCUUAUAUAUAAACUUAUUCCCACCUAUCCAUCUGCCUGAGAUGUCAUGAGAUGAUGCAUAAGUUGUGAAUAAACCAUUUUCAUUCAUCCUAUGGGUUUGUAAACAGCUUGUGUAUUUUCCUUAGUGGUGGACCUUUGGGGAGUAGCCUUUACUUGGGCCUAAACUCAGAACAAGCUGAAUUGCUGGCUUGUCUUGAAAAGGCAGAUCGCAGCAGCUGACUCGAGGUGCAGAACUCCAUUAAGACCUCUUUUCUAAAGGCUUAGAGGCAAAAUCAAUUUAUUUGCUAAUCUGAGUUAAAUAUCUGUGUAUGAGGCAAAUGCAAGGUGAUGUGGUUUAAUAUAAUCCACUGUGAAGCGGGUUAAGUAGAUGACUUGAUGCUUGCUGGAGGCUAAGAGAUUUGCUGCUGUGACAAUACUAGCAUGUGCAAACAUGUCAAAUUGCAAUCACUCCCUUACAUGGUCAUGUCUUCAAGCAACAAGUCCUAGCAUGUGUGAACAUGUCAAAUUGCAAUCACCCCCUUACAUGGUCAUGUCUUCAAGCAACAAGUGAGGUAGGUGAAAUAUUUUUACGUGUUGCAAUUACAUUUAUAAUGUCUGAAAGAACUUAGAUGAGACACAUUAUCAGUUUUUCACUCUAUUUAGAGAAAUGGCAAUAGUUACUAACUAUUACCAAUAGUUAGGGACAAGCUGGACUGAAGCCUACUAAAUGGAGACUUUAUGUUGGAAGCAAACUGAAGUGAUAUAAUAAAGGUUUUUGGCCCCCCUUUCAGGCCAGUGUCAAUGUUAUUUUCAAGUGCUUUUUUACUUCACUUUUUCAAACUAACAGAGUGGUCAGCCUCUGAAACAGCUUUCCAGUGUGAUAGGUCAGUGACAGAAAAUCUAAUAUGAUUCCAAGAUGGAGUGCUUCCAGUUCAUGAAUGGUAUUCUGUGGGAGGGAUGUGUGAAAUAGCAAAAGAGGAGUUCUCCAGAAACCCUGACACUCUCGCUUUCAUGCAUUCUUAACUGUCCUAAUUUGGCUGAAGUAAGAAGACUUCUGCCAGUUUGGAGAGUGUAAGGACCUGGCUUAAAUGACCUCAGAUUCAAGGACUUCAGCCUUCAGACAGAAUAACU
ensembl:lncRNA